rnacentral:rRNA from 1 species
CCUACGGGAGGCAGCAGUGGGGAAUAUUGCACAAUGGGGGAAACCCUGAUGCAGCGACGCCGCGUGAGCGAGGAAGGAUUUCGGUAUGUAAAACUCUAUCAGCAGGGACGCAAAGAGACGGUACCGGACUAAGAAGCGCCGGCUAACUAAGUGCCAGCAGCCGAGGUAAUACGUAGGGGGCAAGCGUUCUCCGGAUUUACUGGGUGUAAAGGGAGCGUAGACGGCAAGGAAAGCCAGAAGUGAAAGGGCAGGGCUCAACCCGGGACACGCUGUUGGAACUGUGGUGCUAGAGUGCAGGAGAGGUAAGUGGAAUUCCCAGUGUAGCGGUGAAAUGCGUAGAUAUUAGGAGGAACACCAGUGGCGAAGGCGGCUUACUGGACUGUAACUGACGUUGAGGCUCGAAAGCGUGGGGAGCAAACAGGAUUAGAUACCCGAGUAGUC